AUAAUUUUAUCGUCAUCACCAUUUUUUUAUCACGAUCGUUUCAUUUGGAUUCAUUAUAAUAAUGAUAUACUCAUGAGAGAAUGUGCAUCACGAGCUGUUCAUACAAUGUGAUAAGAGUCUCACCGAUAAUCCGUUCAACGGCCGAGUCAAUAAAAUUCUUCUCCGAAGGAGAGAAUGCGCGAAGUAAAAAAAAAAUUAAUGUCGAAGUCAUAGAAGGCUCGUGUGUGGUCCCCACGCGGAAGUAUCCUGAUAAAACUCGAUAUCAGUCAAGCCGCAGUCUCGAUGUGUCAUCGAUUUAUCGUAAAAUCUGUCCACGUCUAAUCAACAAUUGUCAAUUGUUGGCGGGGGAAUUUCUAGAAAAAUUUCUUAUCGCUUCCACACACGAGUAUUAUUCAAUUUCCCAAAAUAACCUGUCUUGAAUGUUCCAAACAAAUGUGAAAGAUAAAAAGAAAACAAUUACCUGGAAUUUUCGCUGUUACUUAAUCGGUGGAAAUGAGCAUUUCCCGAGAUAAGUUGAUUAUUAUUCAUGAUUAUGAUUAUACAUUUUAUUUUUGGAGUCAAAUUGUACACGCGAUUAUUAUUAUAUUCGUUUAAUCACAUGUACUUUUCGAGCUAUUGAAAUUAACUUCGCUCCAAAGAAUAUGAAGACUAAAUUUAAUUUUUUAUAGAAUUAUUAAUUAUUUUAAAAUGUGAGAAAAAAGACACACCAUGACGUUUUUAAAUUCACAAUUUUGUAUUUUAAUGGAGUUUGACUAUAAUUUUCGCGUAAUCACCGCAUAUCCGAGACUUCCUAAAAGAUUAAAGAUGCCUUAAUUUCUCCCCUUUCUUAUUUUUCUUUUCAAACCAAGAGAUGAAACGCAAAUUAUUAUCCCUCCGGAAGUAAAUAAAUCAGAGAUUCGUAUUCUGACGUGUAAAAUUGGAACGCAUGGAGAAAUAGAUCGAUUUCACAUUCCGGAACCCAAAAAGUUGGAACAAAAAUUAAUGGGAAAGUCCGGGAAUAUGUACACCAAUGAGAAGAAAUAAAAUGAAUCCGCAAAACUUUCACAGACUGGAGUUACGUCGAAGGUUGAGAUAUUUUUGGAUCAUAAUUAAUUGAGACCACAAAAUUAAAUGGAAUUGCAUUUUCUCCGUGUAAAAUUUAUCGAAAUUGGUCCGCAAACUAAUAAAAAACAUCUUUAAAAGCCUCAACAGACCGAAAAUCACCUGAAAUUGAGCCGCACCUGAACUGGAGCUGCACGGGGUGGGCGGUAUCGUAGCACCUCACCUCGACAACCACACUGUGUGACACGUGCGCGUGACGUCACAGUCCCGGUCACGCGAUCACCGUGUGCUUUUGCAGGUCACGUGUCCUGUCACGCGCUCUCAUACCUCCUCUCCGUCUGUUCCUCAAUUUCUCCUCUCGCUCAAUUCCCGAGUGCAGUUCACACACAUGCAUACGCUAAACGCAUACUGCGAAUUAUAUAUAACUUCCAAUCGACACACUGGCAUUUUCUCCUGAUAAUAUUCGUAACCGCGGGAUUGUUUUUCACUCGCUGUGUGACGAUACGUAACGGCAGACAUCGAAUUUCAAUUAAUUUGCCCUAAUAAUUGCGAGUGAUAAUGAAAUUUUUGUAUCAUUAUGUGAAAUUAGCACUGUCUAGAGUAUCAUGAGGAGGUGUGGGAUUAAUUAGCUGUGUUAAACCAAACGGAACCAGUCGUGAAAUGCAAAAUACUGAUGUGAAUGGAAAAUGCAAUAACUUUUUGCUUUAAUUUUAAUAAUAAAUGCAAAAUUUACAUUCCACUGUUUUUUCGUUAUUUUUUGGCGAGCCCAGACGACACAUUUAAAUGUAACCAGGUCAUUAAAUUUUUUCUUCAACGCGAAAGAAUCGAAAAAACAAUUCGUUCGAUCGAUAAUAAAAAUAAUGCGCAAUUAUUUCAUGUGAUAGAGGCCCAAGACCAGUUCCUCUAACAUAAAAAUAAGUCCCGCAGAUAUUGUUCAGUUCUUAUCAAUUUUCUUAUCACAUCUACUCACAAAUUAAUUCCCACCGGCUUUGGUUCUCCAGCCACGUACGUCAGAUACACGUCAAAACGACAUAUACAUAACCGUACGAGGAUAUCAUGUCGAAUGAUAUAUGCCAGGGACGAGAGGAAUAAAAAAAAUUGAAAAAAUAAUCGCGAAGAGGAAAAGCUCGAUCUGAGUCAGGCGAAGCUAUGAGUUGCUUCUUCAGCGUUAUUUGCCCCUCCGCGAAUUUUUUAUGGGAUGAGAAUGAGUGGAGGAUGCGUUGAAUAUCGACGGAGUUACACGUGCAUGGGAUUGAAGACCGAGGGGCUUUAAAUAACAUUGUGUAUUUUCUGAUCGACCCGGGAGAAAAUAAACUCGGUCUCUAGCAAUGAUACUCCAUUCUAUUUUCAUUUUUUGAUUUAUCGGCCACACGUGGCUGCUUUAUUUCGAUGCAUUGUUGCAAUUUACGAAAAUUGUCGGGGGGUUCAAUGAAUAUUAGAGCAACAAUGAAAAUCAGUUAAAUCAAUAAUGUUAAAAUACUAAAAUGUUCUGAUAGACUCACUCGCAGUAUUCAGACUCUUAUUCUUCCCACAAAAAGUUCUGAAAAAAAAAAUCCUUUAAAAAAUUCCGCAACUUCCGCUGAGACGUCUCACCACGAAUACCAACAAAUGUAAAUUGAAAAUUUGCAUUUCUCCUCCAAACAAAGGAAAACGCCAUUUCAAAUUUACGUGUUUAUUAUGUCGUCUAUUUCACGUCGGAGUUAAUUUCUUUCUGGUCCCUCCUAUUUUUCAAUCCCGUCACUGGUAUCGACAAUGCGUAGACAAACGUGACUCUUACAACAGAUGAGAGGAUGAGGUGGCCUUGGACGAAUUCGAACAUUCACUCGUGAUUAUGCGCUGGAAUUGCUGAGAGACCCAGUGCAUUCUUUUCACGCCCCUAUUUUAUUUAUUCCCUUGGAUUAUUGGGGCAAUUGUCACGUUUUUUAUUGGGAGAGUAAACGGGCCCCUGCACUCCAGAGCGACCGAGGACUCAGCGAGAAGAAGACGGCGGUGGUCGUUCACCCGAGAGGAUUUGAUUGAUAAAGACACUCCGAUCGUCUCAUCUACCAAGAGCUCUUCUAUAUCCAGGAGCUACCAAUUCUUCAUAGCUGUAAUUCGUGUUCCUAGUGUAUCAACCUGUUUUGUAUAAUUAAACGACGAUUAUAUAAUUAAAGACAGUUUACAUGCAAAACCAACUGCUGAGCUGAAAAAAAAAAUGUAAUUCAUUCUCCUCGAGAUUUUGAAUCUUUUAUAAACUGAAGUGAAUGGAGUUUUCCAAUAUCUCUAUGACUAAGUAUCACGAAAAUAUAAAAAUUUUUUCCCGCGCACCGGUUGAGCGCACAUUGCGCGCACGUGCUGAGAAGGGUAAAGCGUGGUUGAGCGCGUGACUUGGAGAACCGAGGCGUGCCCUUCUCUCGAGAUCACGUUGAACACAACGCGGUCACUCUCACUCUGUCGACAUAGCAAUACUAUUUAUACGUGUAUGCAUAUUAAUACACGCGGGAAUGUGAGAAAAAAAAAUUAUGAGCCUCUAUGGAAACGAUUAAAAUUCAUCGCCUUAGACGGUGCGUCAUUUGGCGUUCAGGGUGACUAAUCACGAUGCACGAUGAAUCAAAGUGCUCUCUACAUACAAACAAGAAUUUCCAAAAAUUGUUUCGUCUGAAAAAAAUAGAAAAAAAAAUUAAACGUGAAUAAAUAAAUAAAAUUAACAUCUAGGAGAACUCACAGAUUAUCGGUUU